GCAUGGUUCAUCUGCACGUAUGUACUCAAUCUGGGGAAAUACUUAGAACACUACCAUGACCCUUGCUCAAAGAUGGCAUGCAAAUUCAAGAAGUGUUCUAUAUUUUU
ensembl:snRNA U6 U6 spliceosomal RNA